GCAGCAGCCACGGUAACACGAGGGGGGCAAGCGUUGUUCGGAAUUAUUGGGCGUAAAGGGCGCGUAGGCGGCCUGUUAAGUCGGAUGUGAAAGCCCGGGGCUCAACCCCGGAACUGCAUCCGAGACUGGCAGGCUUGAGACCGGGAGAGGAGGGUGGAAUAUCCAGUGUAGAGGUGAAAUUCGUAGAUAUUGGAUGGAACACCGGUGGCGAAAGCGGCUCUCUGGCCCGGAUCUGACGCUGAGGCGCGAAAGCGUGGGGAGCAAACAGGAUUAGAUACCCCCGUAGUCCCUGUCUCUUAUAC
rnacentral:rRNA from 1 species